AGAUUUUCUUAUGCAAGGAAAUGGAUGACCUGGACCAGUGAUGCCAUGACCUUCCUGCCGGGCAGAUCCAGCACUUUGCGGUGCCAUUGCCAGCCAGGCAGGGUCAGACCAAUGCUUUCCUAGCAAUAAAGUUCAGAAAGAUGUGUUCACUUUAUCUGAUUGGCCUGGAGAGCUUCUCUGAUAGCUUUGUUCUCAGACACAGUGUGGGGAUCAAAUCCCACUACACCAACACAAAAAAGGGCAAAUCCUGCUAGGUGCAGGCUGGGAUCUGAGUGGACGGCAACUCAGAGAGGCUAUCAGAUCUGUCUGUCUGCCUAUGAGUCCUAAAAAACACACUGGCUGCAGCACGCAUACCCCAGUGUGAAGUCAGCCAGGAACAAGCCAGAGAACCUGCCUCUGACCCUGAGGACAUUGCUUGAAAAAUAUUUUCCAGAACUCAGUGCCUGGGGACCUGCAGCUAACAAACAUUCUGGAAGUGUAAUCACAGCCUUUGGCUCUGCUGCCGAACCACCUACGGGAGAAAUUUGUGUAAGUAAAGAGGGAAAAAAGAAGUCAGCUUUGAUGUAAGUGAGCCUGUGAAAUUUUUGCCCAGGAAGGAAAUCACCAGUUCAGAAGAAUUCCUGCAGAUGUAAGUGUUGGUAGAUGAACAGUCCCUCAUCUUGGUGUAGGAUCAUCAGUGGGAAUGCGGUUGAGGAUGCCUUGGUUUUCCAGCUCAACUACAAGGCAACAUUUCAGGCAGCAGACUAUGAGCAUCCGAACUGGCUCCAUCCAGUCCAGGAUCUGUCUCCAACAGGAAAAAGACACAACAGGUUUGCCGACACAGAUGGUGGAUCUUGGUCAGUAACACCAUGUGUGUGCUGUGAGCUCGGGACAUCAGGGCUCGUGCAUGAAGCUGUAACUGCAAGGACAAUCACACAGGAGGUGAACGCAUGAGAGAUUUCUCCACGGGUCUGAGGGGCUAUCCACAGCCCCAGAAGCCUUACCCAACAGACAGCGUUCUGAGUGUGAAAAUGUUUGGAGACCUGCAGGCACAAAUGAGAUGUUGGGUACUUUGAGGGCAGAGGACACCUCUUUGGGUUGUUUGGAUUGCCAGCACUGAUGGUGUCAUGUGAAAGCAAGGCUCAUACCAAGCCCUCACCACAGAAACCUGCUUCCAGCC
rnacentral:lncRNA from 1 species